ensembl:misc_RNA 7SK 7SK RNA
AGAAAUAAGUAUGAUCUGGCUGCAGGAUCUAUCACCCCAUAGAUCCACAGGCUUGAGUCAGCUGAGUUGGCUGGCUAGGCUGGUGUCCCUGCCUUCCCUCACUGUUCCACGUAUGACCUUUCUGGGGCUGUUCACUCAGGUGAAGGCCAGGACCUUCCUCCUUCUUCAGCCAAGGGUACAGGAGCAGCUUCACUCUUCUGUUUGACCCUCUAAACAGCUCACGAGAGCGUGAAGACCUAAUUAGCUUGCUAGGAGGAACUUUUCUUGAAAACAGAUAUUUUGUAAGAUCUCAUUUGGUCUUGAUUU